rnacentral:misc_RNA from 1 species
UCGCAGCUUGCGCCGGCAGUCCCGUCAGAGUCCCCAGCCUUACCUGCUGGCAACUGACGGUAGGGGUUGCGCUCGUUAUGGCACUUAAGCCGACACCUCACGGCACGAGCUGACGACAACCAUGCAGCACCUCGCGGCGUGUCAUUGCUGACUACCUCCUUUCAAAAGUAUUCACGCCGCGUUUGAGCCCGGGUAAGGUUCCUCGCGUAUCAUCGAAUUAAACCACAUGUUCCUCCGCUUGUGCGGGCCCCCGUCAAUUCCUUUGAGUUUCACCGUUGCCGGCGUACUCCCCAGGUGGAGCACUUAACGCUUUCGCUGUAUCACCCAGAGCUCACUCGCUCCGGACAAUUAGUGCUCAUCGUUUACUGCGUGGACUAC